AUUGAACGCUGGCGGCAGGCCUAACACAUGCAAGUCGAACGGUAACAGGAAACAGCUUGCUGUUUCGCUGACGAGUGGCGGACGGGUGAGUAAUGUCUGGGAAACUGCCUGAUGGAGGGGGAUAACUACUGGAAACGGUAGCUAAUACCGCAUAACGUCGCAAGACCAAAGAGGGGGACCUUCGGGCCUCUUGCCAUCGGAUGUGCCCAGAUGGGAUUAGCUAGUAGGUGGGGUAACGGCUCACCUAGGCGACGAUCCCUAGCUGGUCUGGGAGGAUGACCAGCCACACUGGAACUAAGACACGGUCCAGACUCCGACGGGAGGCAGCAGUGGGGAAUAUUGCACAAUGGGCGCAAGCCUGAUGCAGCCAUGCCGCGUGUAUGAAGAAGGCCUUCGGGUUGUAAAGUACUUUCAGCGGGGAGGAAGGGAGUAAAGUUAAUACCUUUGCUCAUUGACGUUACCCGCAGAAGAAGCACCGGCUAACUCCGUGCCAGCCGCCGCCGUAA
rnacentral:rRNA from 1 species